AAUGAACGCUGGCGGCGCGCCUAAUACAUGCAAGUCGAGCGAGAAGACGUAGCAAUACGUUUGUAAAGCGGCGAACGGGUGAGGAAUACAUGGGUAACCUACCCUCGAGUGGGGAAUAACUAGCCGAAAGGUUAGCUAAUACCGCGUACGCUUCUUGGACUUCGGUUCAGGGAGGAAAGCGAUACCGUGGGUAUCGCGCUCUUGGAUGGGCUCAUGUCCUAUCAGCUUGUUGGUGAGGUAACGGCUCACCAAGGCUUCGACGGGUAGCUGGUCUGAGAGGACGAUCAGCCACACUGGCACUGCGACACGGGCCAGACUCCUACGGAGGCAGCAGUAAGGAAUAUUGCGCAAUGGGCGAAAGCCUGACGCAGCGACGCCGCGUGGGGGGAGUG
rnacentral:rRNA from 1 species